rnacentral:rRNA from 1 species
AUGAACGCUGGCGGCGUGCCUAAUACAUGCAAGUCGAGCGAACAGACGAGGAGCUUGCUCCUCUGACGUUAGCGGCGGACGGGUGAGUAACACGUGGAUAACCUACCUAUAAGACUGGGAUAACUUCGGGAAACCGGAGCUAAUACCGGAUAAUAUAUUGAACCGCAUGGUUCAAUAGUGAAAGACGGUUUUGCUGUCACUUAUAGAUGGAUCCGCGCCGCAUUAGCUAGUUGGUAAGGUAACGGCUUACCAAGGCAAUGAUGCGUAGCCGACCUGAGAGGGUGAUCGGCCACACUGGAACUGAGACACGGUCCAGACUCCUACGGGAGGCAGCAGUAGGGAAUCUUCCGCAAUGGGCGAAAGCCUGACGGAGCAACGCCGCGUGAGUGAUGAAGGUCUUCGGAUCGUAAAACUCUGUUAUUAGGGAAGAACAAAUGUGUAAGUAACUAUGCACGUCUUGACGGUACCUAAUCAGAAAGCCACGGCUAACUACGU